rnacentral:lncRNA from 1 species
GAGAGAUGGGGUUCCGACUGUUUUCCAGGGAGCCCUCCGUUCCACAACAUGAUGCUUAGAGCUAGAGAGACGGGAGAAACAAAGUAUGGUGUAAAUAUGCGCAUAUGUAAGUUAUAUAUAUUCAUUGGACAGUUAGUUGGUGGAAGGACCGGCUAUAAAUUAUAAUCCAAUAUUAACUUUAAUCAGAUAUUUGUCCCUAUCCACAAAGAAAUACAUUGGUGUUUAGCCGUUAUUACAAAAAAGAAGAAAAGUUCCAGCAUCUUGAGUCUCGACUCACUAGGAGGAGCUGACAAGAAAGUAUUAAGAACAUUGGAACAUGCUGUUGGAGCAAUUGUCAAAAUUGCAACAUAAACUUUUUGCCUGACGCCUCACCCGCUAUACAACACUUGUCUUAUGCAGCCUGAGCACAAGACCAUGUGCCUGAGUUCGCUGAGGCAUGAUUAUUAAAACCAAGCUGGGAGUACCUACUGAUUAUCUAUGCCUGACUUCGCUUAGGCACGAAUAUUAAAAUCAAGCUGGGAGUACCUACUUAUUAUCUGUGUAUAUUACCAUAUUAGUAAGAACUUAAAUCGGUGUUCUAAGCACUUGGAGAAGGUGCAGGCGGAAAAUUGUAUCUUCAUGUACAGGAUGGUAGUGGUGCUUAGGAGAGAGCUAAGUUUUGCUGUUAUUCUUCUAUAAAAAACUAAUAAUAAGUGUAUUUAAGAUGAAGGGAUUAGAUUGUGAUUGUUUUGUU